rnacentral:rRNA from 1 species
UACGUGCCAGCAGCCGCGGUAAUACGUAGGGGGCAAGCGUUAUCCGGAAUCACUGGGCGUAAAGGGUGCGUAGGCGGCUUAGCAAGCCAGGGGUGAAAGGCAUUGGCUCAACCAAUGUAAGCCUUUGGAACUGUUAAGCUUGAGUGCAGGAGAGGUAAGUGGAAUUCCUAGUGUAGAGGUGAAAUUCGUAGAUAUUAGGAGGAACACCAGUGGCGAAGGCGACUUACUGGACUGUAACUGACGCUGAUGCACGAAAGCGUGGGUAACGAACAGGAUUAGAUACCCUGGUAG